UACAUGAAGCUGGAAUUGCUAGUAAUCACAGGUCAGCAUACUGUGGUGAAUACGUUCCCGGGCCUUGUACACACCGCCCGUCACACCAUGAGAGUUGAGAAUACCCGAAGCCCAUGUCAAAGUGGUCGAAGGUAGGCUUGAUGAUUGGGGUGAAGUCGUAACAAGGUAGC
rnacentral:rRNA from 1 species